UGGGGAAUAUUGGACAAUGGGCGAAAGCCUGAUCCAGCCAUGCCGCGUGUGUGAAGAAGGUCUUCGGAUUGUAAAGCACUUUAAGUUGGGAGGAAGGGCAGUAAGCGAAUACCUUGCUGUUUUGACGUUACCGACAGAAUAAGCACCGGCUAACUCUGUGCCAGCAGCCGCGGUAAUACAGAGGGUGCAAGCGUUAAUCGGAAUUACUGGGCGUAAAGCGCGCGUAGGUGGUUCGUUAAGUUGAAUGUGAAAGCCCCGGGCUCAACCUGGGAACUGCAUCCAAAACUGGCGAGCUAGAGUAGGGCAGAGGGUGGUGGAAUUUCCUGUGUAGCGGUGAAAUGCGUAGAUAUAGGAAGGAACACCAGUGGCGAAGGCGACAACCUGGGCUCAUACUGACACUGAGGUGCGAAAGCGUGGGGAGCAAACAGG
rnacentral:rRNA from 1 species